GUGAGACGUGCAUGUUAGUAUUAUUAUUUGUUUGUUCUGCGUUUAUUUAAUGAACAAGACAAGUGAGACCCAGAAAAAAAUAAAACAAAAAAAAAAAAAAAUUGUUGGACGUUGAAGUCGAUGACUACCCAACGAUAAAAUCAAAUAGGUAACAAUACCUCGUUAUUAGCGGCAGUUUUCUCAGCAUAGCUAACAUAUAGUCGAUGGAACAACACGAUGCAGGCAACGGAGCCAUACCAUUAAGGAUCCGAAGCGGAGGGGGGAUGUUGUUCCAACACUUCGUUGCCGCGUAACGAAAACUGCCGCGGAAUGCUGCUGUGCGGUGAGCCGGCACGUUCAGCAUAUAAGAAGACGCUCUCGUUUGGUAACUUCUAUUACUUUCGUGGGCCCAACUUAGUUUGCUGUACAAAUAUAUAGGCGUUUUAUUUUUAAUAAUACCAAAUAACAAGGUGGCAAAGUGUAAUUGUCUGCGGUAUUCCAUCUUCGCCAUUCGGGCACUGUUAAUAUAUGGGGUAACAUGUGUGCGAGGCGGUAUUUUGUAGCAGUACCUAAUACAUGCAUUCUGUAUACGCUGAAUAAGAUUUUUUGUGCGAGCGAGUAGUCUGGGCCCGAUGACCGCAUCAGCAUAAUUAAACUUUGAAAGAACUAGAGUGUCACAUAACUUUAUACGCAUAUCCUUACUUAGAACAUCUCGGAUCUGAUACAAAACUUUUAAUCUAUAGAAACAAUUGCGAGCUGUAUUUAUAGUGUGUUUUUCAAAGGUUAAUCGCUCGUCGAUCAACAAGCCCAAACUUCUCGCUUCUGUGACACGUUCAAUUCUCUCGCCUUUAAUAUGCACAAAUGGGUUUAGGUCAUUAAUUAGAUUCACCUGGUUUUUUGUUCCUAAUAAUAUAUAUUUAGUCUUGCUCGGAUUUAAAAUAAGACUAUGUGAAUCUGACCAUUCGGAAAUGCGCUGAAGAUCGUCAUUUAAAUUUUGUAUAGCUAAAUUUAUUUCUGAGUUUUUAAAUGAUAUGUAAAUUUGUAUAUCGUCAGCAUAUAUGUGAUAUUUACAAUGUUUUAUACUUUUCACUAUAUCGGCACAGUAUAGCGCAAAAAUGACAGGCCCUAAUAUUGAUCCUUGAGGAACACCUCUGUUAACGGAGCAACAAUCAGAGAGAGCUCUUGACCCAUCCUCAUUUAUUACUUCUACAAUUUGCUUACGAUUUCCUAAAUAACUCGAAAACCACUCAAUUGUGUCAAGACUGAACCCGUAAUAUUUUAAUUUAGAUAAUAGUAAUGACCUAUUGAUUGUGUCAAAGGCACGCGAGAAAUCCAAUAAAACAAGGAUUGUACCCUCACCCACGUCCUGAGCACACAAAACAUUGUCAAUUACAUCUAACAACGCGGUAGUAGUGCUGUGAUGUUUGCGAAACCCCGACUGUCUAUCAGGUAAAAUAUUUUGAGACUCUAGGUAUGCAGUUAAUUGGUUACACACUAUUCUCUCCAAUAUCUUCGAAAUGCAUGGUAAUAUGCUUAUAGGACGAAGAUCUUUAAUUUCAGUAACAUUAUCUUUCUUGGGUAAAGGUCUUACCAGAGCCGUCUGC